CAUAACUUCAAACCGAAGCAAUAAGAGAGUAGAGAAAAAACCGCUUCAAGACGGCCGACAUAUCCUUGUAUCAACACUCUCUCUUCCCUUCUAUUUCUUUUUUCCCACUCAAACAAAGACCUUAACCUUUGCUUUUUCCUGGAUCCUUUGAAAUCGUUUCUCAUUCUUUUGCCCCUCCCAUUCUUAAGGUUUUCAGAGUGAGGAUGUGUGUUUGUUACUCUUGACCUCAGCUUUUUCUGUUUUUAGUUUUUUUAUGGCGAAGGCGAAAAUCUCACAUCAAAACCAGAAGAACGGUUCGGAUAAUGAAAAACCUGCUGCACAACCUACAACCAAACUCAAGCGCACUCGUAAAACUGUUCCCCGUCACUCUCCUCCCCAAUGUAGCUCCACGUAUCGAGGCGUUACUAGGCACCGAUGGACAGGGAGAUUUGAAGCUCAUUUGUGGGAUAAGAAUUGCUGGAAUGAAUCGCAGAACAAAAAAGGAAGACAAGACGAUGAAACCGUGCCACUGUCGCUUCAAAUCAUCUCGCUACUAUCUCUGGGGAGGCCGAGGUUGAUGUAGAGGGAAGUAGACCAAGUCAGUUGCAUUAUCCAUGCAAUCAAAUAACACAAACUGAAACACCCACGAGAAGAAAAAGUCCAAAAAAAGGGAAGAAGCAUGAACUGUUGGAGAAAAUGCGUAGCUGAAAAGAAUUUGGUGGAAUGGGGGCGUUUUGAACCUCGUGGAAGAAGUUGAGCGAAGAGGAGAUAGAUGAAGAAGAGAGGUACGAGCAAGAGUAGACAGAUUCAUGCUACUCUUUGCUAUGGUUAUGUUGAACGGGUUUUUAUGAAUUAUCCACUCUCUAUGCUGUGCGGGGAGUGUUACAGUUAGCGACAGCUGCACCAAGCAUCCACUCUCAACACUUUGAGACCUUUGAAAUCUUCGAUAGUCAUACAACACAGAGAAAGGCGGCCCUAACAAUAUCCCUUAUCUCAUCUCAAUUAUUUAAUAAUAUUUCAUCAAACUUUUAAUUUAAAAAUUUAAUGUGUUAAUGAUAAAUUUUUUAUAAAAUAUUAUUUAAUAAUUGAAAUGGAAUAUAAAAAAAAAGUGA